UACGUAGGGGGCUAGCGUUGUCCGGAAUCAUUGGGCGUAAAGCGCGUGUAGGCGGUCCGGUAAGUCCGCUGUGAAAGUCGGGGGCUCAACCCUCGAAUGCCGGUGGAUACUGUCGGGCUAGAGUGCGGAAGAGGAGAGUGGAAUUCCUGGUGUAGCGGUGAAAUGCGCAGAUAUCAGGAAGAACACCAAUGGCGAAGGCAGCUCUCUGGGACGGUACUGACGCUGAGACGCGAAAAGCGUGGGGAGCGAACAGG
rnacentral:rRNA from 1 species